rnacentral:rRNA from 1 species
ACCUGCAUUAUUUGACGUUACCUACAGAAGAAGCACCGGCUAACUCCGUGCCAGCAGCCGCGGUAAUACGGAGGGUGCGAGCGUUAAUCGGAAUUACUGGGCGUAAAGCGCAUGCAGGCGGCCUGUUAAGUCAGAUGUGAAAGGCCCGGGGACGUUAACCGUACGGUAAUUGCAUUUAGUAAACUAGGCGAGGCUAGAGUCUUGUAGAGGGGGGUAGGAAUUUCAGGUGUAGCGGUGAAAUGCGUAGAGAUCUGAAGGAAUACCAGUGGCGAAGGCGGCCCCCUGGACAAAGACUGACGCUCAGAUGCGAAAGCGUGGGGAGCAAACAGGAUUAGAUACCCUGGUAG